CUUGACCGACCCGAGCCACAGCGGCCGCUCCCGGUCCUGCCCGUACGUGGCGAGAACGGCCUGUGCCUC
rnacentral:antisense_RNA from 1 species